rnacentral:rRNA from 1 species
UGGGAACGUGCCUUUUGGUUCGGAACAACCCAGGGAAACUUGGGCUAAUACCGGAUAAGCCCUUACGGGGAAAGAUUUAUCGCCAAAGAUCGGCCCGCGUCUGAUUAGCUAGUUGGUGGGGUAAUGGCCACCAAGGCUACGAUCAGUAGCUGGUCUGAGAGGAUGAUCAGCCGCAUUGGGACUGAGACACGGCCCAAACUCCUACGGGAGGCAG